UCAAUCUCGUGCGGCUAUAUAUACCGCCGGUCCCUCUAAGAAGAUUUUCAUUGUACGCCGAUAGUUGAAGCACCGCAAACCUUCCCCCGUGAAGGGGUCGGCAAGCGGACCCUCGUGAUAUCGGAGAUACGUCUAUUUAAUAGGCUAGAGUUACGUUCGUUAC
rnacentral:rRNA from 1 species